CCUACGGGGGGCUGCAGUGGGGAAUAUUGGACAAUGGGCGAAAGCCUGAUCCAGCCAUGCCGCGUGUGUGAAGAAGGCCUUCGGGUUGUAAAGCACUUUCAGUGGGGAAGAAAGCCUUGGGGCUAAUACCCUCGAGGAAGGACAUCACCCACUGAAGAAGCACCGGCUAACUCCGUGCCAGCAGCCGCGGUAAUACGGAGGGUGCGAGCGUUAAUCGGAAUUACUGGGCGUAAAGCGCGCGUAGGCGGUCUGAUAAGCCGGUUGUGAAAGCCCCGGGCUCAACCUGGGAACGGCAUCCGGAACUGUCAGGCUAGAGUGCAGGAGAGGAAGGUAGAAUUCCCGGUGUAGCGGUGAAAUGCGUAGAGAUCGGGAGGAAUACCAGUGGCGAAGGCGGCCUUCUGGACUGACACUGACGCUGAGGUGCGAAAGCGUGGGUAGCAAACAGGAUUAGAUACCCGGGUAGUC
rnacentral:rRNA from 1 species